UGUUUUCUUCGGCCCAUUACAGAGGAAUCUUAUAUCCACAGUGGAAUGCAGGGGGGAUUCUAGAAAGAAAGCGGAAUUCAUCGGUCUGAUCUACGCAGGAGGGAUGUUCCCCCACGCAAAGUUGGGUGGUGCAUACAAAGUGACUAGCAGUUACAACUGACUGAUGAAGAAUUAAUUAUUAUUCUUAAUUCCGUCGCAAUGGACACGGGGCAUCUAUCAAGGGCUAGAGCCUGUCCUCUCAAACCAUCAAGGACGUUGAAACAAAGAGAAACGUGGUUGUGGUGGGGACUUGGGUUUGUUUAUAUCCCACAACCGUGGAAAGUUGUGGGUAUUCAUUUAUUUUACUUCAAGGGG
rnacentral:sRNA from 1 species